rnacentral:misc_RNA from 1 species
GAUCAUUACCCUUCUAUCCGGAGAACGUGGCCCUCGGGCUACGCUUCUCUUUGGAUUCUACCCAUGUCUUUUGCGUACUCUUUGUUUCCUCGGUGGGCUUGCCUGCCGAUAGGACAACCAAUAAACUCUUUGUAAUUGCAAUCAGCGUCAGUAACAAUAUAAUUAUUACAACUUUCAACAACGGAUCUCUUGGUUCUGGCAUCGAUGAAGAACGCAGCGAAAUGCGAUAAGUAGUGUGAAUUGCAGAAUUCAGUGAAUCAUCGAAUCUUUGAACGCACAUUGCGCCCCUUGGUAUUCCAUGGGGCAUGCCUGUUCGAGCGUCAUUUGUACCCUCAAGCUCUGCUUGGUGUUGGGUGUUUGUCCCGCAUUUUCCGCGUGGACUCGCCUUAAAGCAAUUGGCAGCCGGCACGUUGGCCUAGAGCGCAGCACAUUUUGCGCCUCUUGUCAUACUUGUUGGCAUCCAUCAAGACCAUAUUUUUUGCUCUUGACCUCGGAUCAGGUAGGGAUACCCGCUGAACUUAAGCAUAUCAAUAAGCGGAGGAAAAGAAACCAACAGGGAUUGCCCUAGUAACGGCGAGUGAAGCGGCAACAGCUCAAAUUUGAAAUCUGGCUCUUUCAGGGUCCGAGUUGUAAUUUGCAGAGGGCGCUUUGGCGUUGGCAGCGGUCCAAGUUCCUUGGAACAGGACGUCACAGAGGGUGAGAAUCCCGUACGUGGUCGCUGGCCUUCGCCGUGUAAAGCCCCUUCGACGAGUCGAGUUGUUUGGGAAUGCAGCUCUAAAUGGGAGGUAAAUUUCUUCUAAAGCUAAAUACUGGCCAGAGACCGAUAGCGCACAAGUAGAGUGAUCGAAAGAUGAAAAGCACUUUGGAAAGAGAGUCAAAUAGCACGUGAAAUUGUUGAAAGGGAAGCGCUUGCAGCCAGACUUGCCUGUAGUUGCUCAUCCGGGCUUUUGCCCGGUGCACUCUUCUGCGGGCAGGCCAGCAUCAGUUUGGGCGGUUAGAUAAAGGUCUCUGUCAUGUACCUCUCUUCGGGGAGGCCUUAUAGGGGAGACGACAUGUAACCAGCCUGGACUG